AUACAGAUUAGUUAAUUUAAUAUUGCCUACUGUUAGGGGCUAGGAAUCUGUUACCGACAAGUGACGUUAUCGACGGAGCAGAAAAUAUAUUGAUAUACAUUUGUUAGAUGUUUCAAAUGAAUAAUAAUAAUAAUAUACAGAAUACCAUUGAGCCAUCUGGUGUUAAAGAAGAAAGUAAUUAUCAUUGAAAAGUCGCCAUUUAUUGGUAAAGACAAAACGAAACCUCAAUCUGAUUAAAAAAUUGAUGCAAAAAUCUAUUUAAAAAAAAAUAUUUUUUAAAGUAUCAUCAUUACUUAAAAUGCCUACAUCAUGUAGUGUAUAUGGUUGUAGUAAUAGAUUUUCUAAAGAGAAAAAGAUUCAAUUUUUUACUUUUCCAUUCAAGAAUAAGCAUAGACUCGAAGCAUGGAUAAAAGCGGUUCAUAGGAAAGAUUGGGAGCCUUCUAAGGCAAGUAGAAUAUGUAGUGAGCAUUUCAAGCCGCAGGAUUUCUUGCAUCGUCCUGGUACAGCUUUGUAUCCAUAUAUAAGACGGUUAAAGCACGAUGCCAUUCCAUCUGUAUUUUCAAACUAUCCUGAAAGUUUGGAAUUGAACGAGUCUAAAUUAAGAAAUGAAAAAUUCUCAACGUCUGUUAUAAAUGUAUCGGAGUGUUCUAAUGAACCGGGGCAAAGUUUCCAAGAUGCGCUAGUAUAUUCUAACGAAUUAAACGAAUUAACAUUAGAAGUAGAAGACAUCGAAGAACAAAUGGAAGAAGAUUAUAGAUAUUCAAAGAAAGAUGUAUUAAUCGACAAGUUGCAACGUCAAAUUUUUGUAUUAAAGCGACAAGUGAUUAGAAAAGAUAAAAAGAUAGAGCGUAUGAAAGCAUUGAUAUUAUAUUUACAGAAAAAAAGAUUGGAUGAUUCUCGUUGGAAUUCUCUAAGAUAUAAUAAGAUGUACUUAUUUAGUCAUCAAAGUCGUCCCAAGUCUGCUGCUGCAGCACGGAUAAAUUAAUAUUAUAUUAAAACAAUCUAUUUUAUGAAUCACACGCAUAAUCUUGAAUUCAUUGCUAUUAACCACGUGGAUACGUUUUGGAUAAGAAUUCAGUUGAAAUGAAAAUUUCUUCUAUUGUUAGAAUUAUGUAGGUCAACAAUAUUUAGACAUUACAAAAUUUCCUAUAUGAAAUCAAAGAAAUGUUGUUUAUACGCCAUCUGCUUGUCAGCGGCGCCACUAAUGCGGCGCCACUUCUCUGCUAUACGUGGCUCAAUUGUUGAAGAGGUUACUUUAUUGUCGUCAUCGAUUUAUCUAGGAUGUUCGAUUGAAAACAAUCGAGAGUUGGUUUUUCCGUUCGUGUUUUUAAGUCGGAAAACUAUUUAUCAUUAUUAAUUGUUAAUAAUAAUUGAAUUUAUCUAACUAAUGUUUUCUCUUUAACGCUAAAACAUUCGUUGUUACACUCUUUGUGGCGCCACUGAGUUGCUUUGCCAAAGUAUUUAGUGGUCUAGUGUGGCGCGGUAAUGUUACUUCUAAAGAACACAACAUGGAAGAUAUUAAUAAUAUAAACACUGAAGAAUUUAUCUCAGAAAUAGAAGCACGUCCAGCUAUUUGGGAAUUAUCCAGCGACGAUUAUACCAAUAAAGUUACUAAGAAGAACGCUUGGGAAGAAGUUAUUACAAAAUUUUGUCCUGAAUUUGAAAGAACAUCUAGCCCUGAGAGAAAUAAUAUUGCCUUACGUUUUCAGAGAAAGUGGAAAAGUUUGCGAGACUGUUAUUCUAGAGAA
rnacentral:misc_RNA from 1 species